UACGGAGGGUGCAAGCGUUAUCCGGAUUCACUGGGUUUAAAGGGUGCGUAGGUGGGUCUGUAAGUCAGUGGUGAAAUCUCCGAGCUUAACUUGGAAACUGCCAUUGAUACUAUAGAUCUUGAAUACCGUGGAGGUCAGCGGAAUAUGUCAUGUAGCGGUGAAAUGCUUAGAUAUGACAUAGAACACCAAUUGCGAAGGCAGCUUACUACACAGUUAUUGACGCUGAGGCACGAAAGCGUGGGGAUCAAACAGG
rnacentral:rRNA from 1 species